rnacentral:ncRNA from 1 species
AAUUGUUAUAAAAGUUUUAUUUUGGCUUAAAAAUUUAUUUUUAGUUUGAAUUAUAUGUAAAUUUUUGUGUGAAUUUUUAUUUGUUUAAAAAAUAAAUAAAUUUUAUUUAUUUACAGUAAUUAAUAUUAUUAAUUAAAGAAAUUUAGAAAUAGAAAUAUUAAAAAAUAUUAACUAAAUUUGUGCCAGCAGUUGCGGUUAUACAAAUAAUAUAAAUAAAUUUUUUUAAUAAAAGUUAAAUAUUUAAUUUUAAAUUUAUAAUAAAUUAUUAAGUGAAAUUUUAAUUUAUUUUAUUUUUUAAAAAAAAAUUAAUUGAGGCUAUAAAAUUUUAAUAAAAAACUAGGAUUAGAUACCCUAUUAUUUAAAAUAUAAUUAAAUUGUUUGAGUAGUAAUAGAUAUAUUCUUGAAACUUAAAAAAUUUGGCGGUAUUUUAGUCUAUUCAGAGGAACUUGUUUUGUAAUCGAUAAUCCACGUUGUACCUUACUUGAAUUUGUUAAUCAAUUUAUAUACCGUUGUUAUUAGAAUAUUUUAUAAGAAUAAUAAUGUUCUGAAAUUUUUAUUAAAAUUAAUAUCAAAUCAAGGUGUAGUUUAUGUUUAAGUAAAAAUGAGUUACAAUAAAAUUAUUUAAAUGGAAUUAAAUAUGAAAAAUUUAAUGAAAGUGGAUUUGAUAGUAAAAUUAUAGAGAUAAAUAAUUUGAUUUUAGCUCUAAAAUAUGUACAUAUCGCCCGUCGCUCUUAUUAUUAAAGUAAGAUAAGUCGUAACAUAGUAGAUGUACUGGAAAGUGUAUCUAGAAU